rnacentral:rRNA from 1 species
GGUAAUUCCCUANUUCAAUGGGCGAAUUUAAAGUUGUUGCAGUUAAAAAGCUCGUAGUUGGACUUCAAGAAGCGCAUCUGGGCAACCAGUAUGCCUUCUACCAGCCCUAGGCUGUUACUGUGAGAAAAUUAGAGUGUUUCAAGCAGGCUAUUGCAGGAAUACAUUAGCAUGGAAUAACGAAUGUGUCUACAAUUUGGUUGAUUGUAGGUUACAAUUAAUAGGGACAGUUGGGGGCAUUAGUAUUUAAUAGUCAGAGGUGAAAUUCUUGGAUUUGUUAAAGACUAACGUAUGCGAAAGCAUUUGCCAAGGAUGUUUUCAUUAAUCAAGAGCGAAAGUUAGGGGAUCGAAGACGAUUAGAUACCGUCGUAGUCUUAACCAUAAACUAUGCCGACUAGGGGAUCGGA